CGGGAAAUAGCGCAGCCUGGUAGCGCACUUGCUUCGGGAGCAAGGGGUCGGCGGUUCAAAUCCGCUUUUCCCGACCA
rnacentral:tRNA from 1 species